GCGAGCUGCAAAGUGGGACAGAGAACAAACAGGUUAUUGCCUGUCAUAUCCAAACUGGCAUGCCUCUUGUCUUCCUUUCUGAGGGUGCAGAUCCAAGAUGGUGCUGAGAGACCUGUUCUGGGGUGACAGUUAUUCCCCCACGUCAUCUCACCUCCCUUCUGCACAGGUCCCCACACUCUGGACCAGAAGACUGGUACCACCCAGUUGGAGCUGAAAAGCUGAGAAAAAACGUGAGUUAAUCUAGUUUCCUUCCUUGCAUUUUUAUAAUUAACCUGUUCCAUCCCUGUCUUCACCAGGAGUAACCUUUUAGUAGCCAAUGAAGAAGCGGUUUCCCAUUUGCUAGGGUCACUUGAUUGACAUGAAAUAAUGAUGAUCUGCAUCCAGAAUGGCAGCUCUCCAACAGGGAAGGGUAAUAAAAUCAAUUAAAAAAAAAGGAAGCAGCAGCCAAAAUAACCCUCUCUGGCUACAGUCAAUCACAGCCAGCCACUGUACCCUCAGCAGAGAAAGAGCAGUCAGGUGUUAGCAUGCAGGUAUAUGGCUAUAGGACAUGACGCAGUUAUAUGGCCAUGGGAACACUGGUGUUUGAGCAGCUCCUUCUCUGGGACACGCGGAGGGGUCUGGAGGAUCUUCUGUUUCAAUUGUCAUUUUAUAGGAAAGGAAAACCCAAUGGGAACACUAAACCCCACAGCUGGGACAAGUGGACUUCCAAAUGAGCUUAUGUCAGGGCUCUGAGUGGGAAAAGCAGCAGUAUUGUGUCUCUGUUCUAUGACUGUGUGUAUGUGUUCAAGAAGUGCAACUAUGGGACAGACAGAGCCAUGAUGUGGUGAAUAUCAAGUUACAAUUCACAUGCAGGAUUACACCAUACAUUAGACCAAGAGAGAUAGUUAAAAGUAUUAAAAAAUGAGCUCUGGACAUACACAGUAAGACUUGGCUGUCCAAAAGCCUUUCCUCUUUUUUUUCUCUAUUGAGCCAAGCCAAGACAUUACCUCUGUCUGCAGUCUGUCAAUGAAGAUGAUGGAAGAUGAUGAGCAGGCUGCUGUGGCUGCAAUCUGCUUUACAAAAGCAGGUCUGAAACUCUUCUCCUCCCUGGGAUGCGGAGAGUGCACAGAAGGUGUUAAUCUUGCAAACCUCACAGUGGUCUUUUUGCAGCUGUGGGAUGGAGUUAAUCAUCCCAGGGGCUCCAGUGUGAAUUUAAGCCAGGCCUGCUGCUGCUCUGACUGAUUAUGGCACACCAGGACAUCCUAACCCCUGUGUGCUCUGGCCAAGGAUGAUGCUCAUCGGUCCCAUUGGAAUGCUGCUACCCAGGGCCAUGGACUGUCCCCCAGCUCCAGCCCAUCAGAGGAGCCACAGGAUGGGACCAGGGCAGCAAAGCUGCAGCGGUGACAACAGGCCAGGUGAAGUCUGACGAGCGGCUGCCUCCCUGCUCUGCCCGUAUGGAAAUGAACAUCUCAAAUGGGUCACUUACAAAGUAAAGUGAUCUCUUUUUCAGGGCUUUCAAGGACGGUGUGACACAAUAUGGACUACCUACAAUGAAGACAUAUGAACUCGGGAGCAUACCAAACAAAUUCCUUGCAUACUUGUUUUCCAGCAAAGCAUCAAUCACCACAGGGAUGGGAGAGUGUCCAAAACAGCAGGAGAAAAUGCUACAGCUUGCAGUUCUUGGAUUGUAAUUCAUUUAAAGCCAGACACAUUAGCUGUACCACUAACAUCAGACACAAAUCUCUGUCCUCCUUUUGCGCAUCUACUAUCUCAAAAACAUUGAGAUUCGAUAUUUAAAGUUGUCCAGUGUAGAUCCUCAGCUGGUGUAAAGUGGCAUAACUGUGCUCAACAGCUGCUCCUGGUCUUUGAAGACAAUGGAGCUAUGCUGAUUUACAUCUGCUGCAGGAAGAUCUAUCACUCUAUUUGCUUGGCUUUUUCUUUGGUGGCUUGUUUUUCUUUUCCUUUUCCUUGACAAAAUAAAUGGUGUAAUUCCUAGCUUUUA